GGAAUUUAUUGUACACUGACGCAUUGCCACACACCACGGGAAAAGGGAGUGCCACGAAGCAAGAUUUGCACUGUGGAUUGUUGUUUACUCAUUUCUUCACAGUAAACAAUAGCACUGAUCUACUGUACCGAGGGGUCCGAGUCUGGGUCCGCUAACCACUUCUGACUAGUACAACACAUCAGAUCGUCGCAAAGCAGCACAGAACAUCAGAUCGUCGUCCAUUCCCAAACAGUGAUGGCAGAAGCAGCUACCAGAACAAGAGGGCGAACUUGCUUCAGAUUCAUCAAGUGCUUGUUUGUCUUUAUAAUUCUGUUCAU